UGGGGAAUAUUGCGCAAUGGGGGAAACCCUGACGCAGCAACGCCGCGUGAGUGAGGAAGGACUUCGGUCUGUAACGCUCUGUUAAUGAGGAAAAAUGGUAGUUGGUCUAAUAGGCCGAUUAUUUGAUGGUACUCAUAGAGGAAGCACCGGCUAACUUGGUGCCAGCAGCCGCGGUAAUACGAAGGGUGCAAGCGUUGUUCGGAUUUAUUGGGCGUAAAGCGCGCGUAGGCGGACCUGCAAGUAAGAUGUGAAAUCUCGAGGCUCAACCUCGAAACUGCGUCUUAAACUACAGGUCUAGAAUCUCGGAGGGGGAAGGGGAAUAUCGCAUGUAGGGGUAAAAUCCGUAGAUAUGCGAUGGAACACCAGAGGCGAAGGCGCCUUCCUGGACGAGUAUUGACGCUGAGGCGCGAAAGCGUGGGGAUCAAAC
rnacentral:rRNA from 1 species